GCCAAUAUAUUUUAAUGAAGAAAUUCGAAACUAAAAUAUUAAUUACAUGGAAAAAUUUUAACUUUUUACUAGAUCAAGCUUUAAAUCUACAACAAAAACUUGCAUUAUCUGUUCUUCAUCCUAAUUGACUAAUUUUUAUUACGAGCUUAGCUAUCAAUGGUAUGAGUUAGAAGGCUGAAGUUUACAUUCAUUCACAGAAUUAGCAAAGUACAGUCCAACUGGUGAGAGCUAGGAGGCUGAAAAUUUCAAUCGUUGUAUAAGCUAUCAAAUGGCCAAGCGGUAAGAGCUAGGAGGCUGACAACUGUCAUGACCGACUCGAGUAUCAAAGCACAGAUCAAAGGGUACGAGCUUUGAGGCCGAAAGUUGUUAUCAUUGUAUAAGCCAUUAAUAUGCAAAUGAAAUGGUAAGAGCUAGAAGGCUGAACUCUGUAUUUGACUGACUAAUAACGCACACGCCAAAUGCACACGGUCCAAAGGGUAAGAGCUAAGAGGCUGAAGCUUUACCACAACAUAAUUCUUGUAAUUUAAUCUUACAUUAAGUUAAAGUUGAAUAAAAAAAUAAUUUAGUUUUUAAGUUGUUAAAUACUC